GGCCACCUCACAUUGAAACGCCGGUUCUCGUUCGAUCACAGAAGUUAGGCAAUGUUGAACCUGUUCAGUAGUCAGAUGGGUAACCGCUGGGAAGUACCAGGUGCUGUAAG